UUGACGUUGGGUGGCAUUUUACACAGUAGCACAGAAAUCUAGCUCCAAAGUUUGUGAAAAUGCCCUGGACACCUGCUCUUCCAGCUGCAUUUCUGCUCUUCCUGCUUUUCCAGGUUACCCCAGCCCAGAAAGAUGUUACACAGAAGCCAGCUGUUCUCCUGGUUAAUGAAGGAGAGUCGGUCAAUAUAACCUGUUCCAUUCAUACCAAGGGGAGGCUAGUGGGGAUGUAUUUGAAAAGAGAAGUUUUAAAUGCCAUGGAAGUGCUAUACAUCACAAAUAAUUGUACUAGCCUAACCGUCAACGUUCGCUACAAAGACCGCAUCAAUAUCUCCUGUCUCCAGACAGAAGUGAGGAUAACGCUGCACCAGUUGCAGAAAAAUGACACUGCUCUAUAUGUCUGUAGAGGGAGCAUUCUAGAAAAUUACGAGCCCAAUUGUGUGUCGAGCCAAGGCACCAUAUUGGUGGUGAAAGGAAUGGAGCAGGCAGAGUGCCACAUGGCUUCCUGGGUGCCCUAUGUCCUUUCCUUCAUGGUUUUGAUUUCGGUUUCUGCUCUGGGAUACCUCAUUCUGUCUCACAUAGAUAUCAAGAAACACUGCCAAGAAGGAAAGAAAAAGCAAUCAAAUACGGUGUACGAAGACAUGUCCUACCCCCUUAGGCUCAACACCAUGGCCACAGUCAACCCUUAUAACAAUUGUUAGGAAGCUCUUGCCAGCUGAGGCAGUGUGGACAUCAGCAGCUCCUCCUCCACGUGCUUGAGCUAGAAAGGCUGACGUCUGACAAUCAUUCCCUUUAGUGAAAAGAAAAAAAUACCUGCCUCGUGUCCUGUGCAAUAUUUCUGCUUAUUUCACUCAAUUGUGAUGACCACUUUGCAGGGGUGGGGGGCAGGGAGGUUAUUUACAGAAAAUGUAGAGAAAUGAAUGCAUCCCUGAACGUGUUAGUGUGUGCUGGGGAAGGCAGCAUUAGAUGCUGUGGUGUAUAGUCGACUUGAUGCAACACCUGCUCUUGCUCUGCCCGUUAGUGAUGCUCACCCCCCUCCAAUGAAGCAUGUGAGAGAAGUUGUGUUGGGAGCAUGGGGAGACACUCAGGCCCAGAUUCACAAAGGGACUUAGGUACCUCAACCCACACAGGCACCUCUAAGUCCCAGUUUAGGUGCCACUGAGAUCCACAAAACCUCCACUCAGCUUCCACCUAACCCUGUAGGUGCCUAAAUGAGCUCAGCCCCUAAUUUUGCAGCAAAAGUUCCCUUGGCACUUAAGUUCCUCUGGGCAAGAGUGCACCUGCCUCCCUCUUGGUGUCUGGCCACCUAAGCCCCAGAGCAAUCCAAGAACCAAGGGAAGAUAGGUGCUCCCCCACCUAUCUUGCCUACGGGGCCUGAUCCAAUAGGCAUGCUCACACCUGGCCUACUGGAUUGGGUCUCACUGAAAUGCUGGCUGGAGGAAAGUGGUGGUGGUGCUGCUGCCUGCUUUAUAAUGUUCAGCCCAGUGGUUAGCUCACUUUACUGGUACGUGGCAAUCUUGGUUCAGUCCCCUCUUUGCUCAAAGUGGAGAAAAGAUUUGAACAGAGAUCUCUCACAUGAGUGCUUAGACUACUGAGUUAUGGGAUAUGCUGAUGCAGGGCUCCCGCCAUCUCUCCUGUGAAACCUGUUCUACUUUGAAUACUUAGUCCUUGGGAGAGAAAAUGGCUCUGUAGAUGGAUAUUUAGAGCACUCAGUUCCCCUGCCCCAGUGAUUCUAACUAGUUACCCACCGUAUAAGAGCUUCAACAGGAGAGAGUUCUACAGCAGACUUCUCCUAUGGCUCAGUGGUUAGCGCACUUUUCUACAUGCUGGGUGACUCCUGUUCAAAUCCUUUCUCUCCUCAGGCAGAGUGGGGGGGAAUUGAACCUGGCUCUCCCAUGCCACAGCUAAGUACUCUGACGUUAUGAGGUAGGUACUGCCCAUGACUAUUUUGCAUGGGCUGAGGCAGAUGCCCAACUCGUUCUCCCAAGAAACAACGUAGGGACCUAAGCUGCCUGACUUCAGGCAGCUGGUUCCCAUUCAUGGAUCUCUAGCAGAGAUAGCAGCCUGGCUCCCUACCUAGCAUACUGGCUUUUGGGGAGCUCAUUCUAAGGUGCCUUUCUCUCCCUAUGUAUUGUAGAGGGAGCUUAGAUGCCUAACUCAGGCUGUGUGGAUUGCAGUGUUGUUCUGUGAUUUUCUUGGUACCUAAAGGUGGGGUAUUGCUAUACUCCGUAUCAUAAUACCCAAGCCUCUGAGAUAGGCCUCAGACACCAUGGUGAUAGGCAUCUAUAUAAAAACAUAGAUGGAUAAAUAAAUAGAUGGAUUCCAGCAUUUGCAACAAAGCACAUGCAGCUGGGUAAGUGGGUUUUGUGUAAUCUAAGUAUUAAAGCAGAGAAAAUUCCUCAGAACAGCAUUCAAAACCCAUUUGUGAAAUGGCAAAAUACAAGUGUAAAGAGCUUGUCUAAUCCCCCAUAGUCACUGACUAUCCCACAGGAAUGAAGUUGGACCUACAGUGUAUAUGACUCUUCUUGCUUUAGGGUAAUAGCCAGAUGGCUGGGAUUCUUGCAUUAAAUUCAGGAAAUGAUGAGGUUUUCAGGCCCAUGACAUCAUGUGUUUGUGAGGAGACAGAAGCUUCUGCCCCUCUUUCAGGUUCUUUGUUUAAUGUAGGUUAUUACACAACACAGCUCAGUAAACCCCCCUCAGUGAUGCUGCACUGUACAAUGACUUUCAAAAUACCCUCUAGCCUGGGCCACAAUCAGCAGCUAGACAUCUGACCAGGGAGUGGAUGACCCUGGGCCAAAUUAACUCUGAAAUAUUUACCUUUCUCUUGGCAACAUAAGUUUAAAAACUCAGUGUGGUGAGUAAAAAGCUACAUUAGCCCUGUAAUGGCUUAUGUAGACCUGUCCAUUUGUUAGCAGGGAAGGAUUUAAUCCUCUUUCUCUCUGGCUAGAGAGCAGAUCACAGCUGUCUGCCUUACAUGCAGAGAGAGAUCCAGAGAUGGCCCAGCUGUGGGGAAUUAAUUAAUUACCACCAGCCCCAGCACAGUAUAAAACAGGGGAAGAGGGCCUGAUACUUGUUAUUGGUUUCAGGGUGUUUAGGAAGGGAGUUAGUGAAGGAAAGUGUUCUUUAACAUUCAGGUUUUGCUUUGUAUUUGGUUUGCAAAGGGGACAAGAUAUUCUUUAUCUUGGGGGUAUAUUUCUACUUUGCAUUAUAGAGUUGUUCACAGUGCACCAGUCUUCUUUAUCAGUUGGCACUGUGGGUGCUCAGCACUUCUGAGAACUGAACCUGAGGUGUCCCAACUUGAGCACCCACAAUCAGGGGCUGCUUUUGCAAAUCUUGGCUUGAGUAUUUCUAUUUUGUAACCACAGAGCAAUGCCAGAGCAAUCAAAACAGUGUCUCCUUGCAGGGUCAGAGUGUGUUAGCCAAGCACACCUCCCCCAGCACUGUCUAGUGCAUGAAGCUGGAAUCCUGUUUUGCAGCCCUAUAGAUACACUGGAGGGGCAGAAGGAGACGCUCCCUGCAUGUUGUUCUUUACCCAAUGAUUACGCCUGAAAGAGGACAUGAUUUCACCCUACGCGAUAAUUUCGUCAUCCAUCACUGAAAUGCAGCCCCCUCUGGGGUGGAACAUGGUAACUUUAUAGCAGUGUAAAGCAGCAGCACUAUAUGGCAGUUUAGGACAGAAUGUAAAAAGAAAGUCAACAACGUGAGGAACCCAUUGUCUGUUACUAAAGUUGGACAUAUAGCUACUUGGAUUUGCUCUGAGAUUGAUUUUGCAGCUUGUAGAAACACAGACCGAGCCUUACGAACAUUCAUGUGCAUUGUCCUUACACAAUGCACUAGCUAGGGCUUUGUGCAGAAAGCAUCUUACAAGAACCAUCCCUCUAACAUCUGACAGGUCUCAGACUGGCCCUUAGGCUCUGCACAGGAGGACCUGACUCUCAGCAGCCCUUCCGAUUUAUAGAAGUGAGAAGUAAAACCAAGACCCCGAGGGGAACCAUGACUUCAGUGAGCCUGAUCUUCAAAACAUGCCUGGGUGAGGUAAAGGAGGAAGCUAAUGAAGAAGGCUGAAGAAACACUUGUACUUUACCGCUGGGAGAGGAGAAUAUGCCGUAACCAGUGGGAACCAGCUGUUUUUUUACACCAGUCUCAAAGCCUCCCCUCCCCCUGGCCUGUCUGAUGUGAUUCUCAGAAGUGACACUUCUGUUAGUGUGUACAAUGUUCUGAUGACCUCAGCCUGCCCCGAUAGAUAGGGGGCACCUGGUGUCUGAGGAGGAUCCAUGAAGUGUCCCGGGGGACUUGGCUUCAUGACUUCUCAAGUGGAAACUGCAUUUUCAUAAAGGCAACAUGUUCUGUGGAUGUUGGUGGGGCUCUUGAGCCAGGGACCCCCUACAUAAACGUGACGUGGGAAUGAGUUCAUCUGACCCUGAGGCCAGCCAGGCCUUCGUCUGAGUUGAACGGCGAUGUGCAGCCAAUCACAUGGCGAGGAGAAUUCCACAAAAACGUUCCCCUUCCUGCCUCAGCGCAGGGGAAACCCAGUGUCUCAGGAGUGCUUGGGGAGGAGUGCAGGGCUGGGGAAUCUAUUGUUAGGUGUUCCCAUUGGAACAAGGCUGCUCUCUCACCACCAGAACCAAAGAGGGAGGCAGCAACACAGAGCAAACAGACUUGUUGUAUGGGCCAUACGCUGGCAGCGUUUAUAGUUUGUUCCUGAGAAACAUGACGGUGUAGCACAAUGGGGUGUUGGCCCAUGCUUCCU